AUGGAUCGUCCCACAGGGAGGGUGGCAGUGCAGCAGUGAGGCAGGAAUGAGGGGCCUCUCCUGCCUUGGCUGUUCUGGAGAAGCUCAUGGGCUUUACCAGCCUGGAUCCACCCACACUUGGAGAGCUGCCCCUGCACCAGGGAUGGACAGCAAAGAGAAAAACGUAUAUGGCUCUAUUUGAACCUAAUUGAGUGCUGUGUGCCCUGCACAUCUGUGCUGGGUGGUGAGGUCGAUGUCUCAGCUGCACUUUGGCCAAAAAGGGCAGUCACAGCAAACAGCAACCAAACAGCAGUGUGGGAGCAGAUUUGGCCUUCUGAGGCAUGAAUUUAAAGCACAGAUGAGAGCUUGUGCCAAGAGGCUUCUUGGGAGCAUCGGGUCUGUUCUCAUUAAAGGCUGAGGGUUAA